rnacentral:lncRNA from 1 species
GGUGGUGGAAACGAAGCUUGUUCAUCACCACUUCCGGGAGAAGCCGAAUCCUCCGAAAGUUCAUCUAUCAUUUCUUCAUAAGCUUUAUCUAUCGCCGGUUGUGAUUCUGUAAUUCCAAAGUUUCUUCUUUCCGCGCAGAUCCAAUCUCUAAAAAGUACCGAUUUUCCAAGCUAUCCCUCAUCGCCGCUCUAUGAUCACCAAUUUGUAGUCUUGCUUGACUGAAA